AAAGUGUAGCAAUACAUGAGUAAAGCGGCGCAUGGGUGAGUAACACGUGGAUAACCUGCCUCAAAGUGGGGAAUAACACCGGGAAACCGGUGCUAAUACCGCACAUUCUGACAAGAUCUGCGGAUUUCGGCAGGAAAGGAACAAUUCUCUUUGAGAGGGGUCCGCGGCUGAUUAGCUAGUUGGUGAGGUAAUGGCUCACCAAGGCUUCUAUCAAUAGCCGGUCUGAGAGGACGGUCGGCCACACUGGAACUGAAACACGGUCCAGACUCCUACGGGAGGCAGCAGUGGGGAAUUUUUCGCAGUGGGGGCAACCCUGACGAAUCAAUGCCACGUGGAUGAUGAAGUAUCUCGGUACGUACAAUCCUUUCGACGGGGACAAAACCGCACGGUUGACGGUACCCGUAAAAUAAUCCCCGGCUAACUCCGUGCCAGCACCCGCGGUAAUACGGGGGGGGCAAGCGUUGUUCGGAAUUAGUGGGCGUAAAGGGUGCGUAAGCCGCUUUCGCAGUCUGAUCUAAGAACUCUGGGCUCGACCCAGAGCCUGCGUCUGAGACUGGACAGCUAGAGUUUUGGAGGGGAAAGCGGAAUUCUCUGGUGUAGCGGUGAAAUGAGUAGAUAUCAGGAGGAACACCGGUGGCGAAGGCGGCUUUGUGGACAAUUACCGACGUUGAGGCACGAAAGAUAGGGGAGCAAUCAGGAUAUGAUACCCUGGUAGUCUCUAGCCCUAAACGAUGGAUACUUGCUGUGGGGGGGAUUGAAGCCCCUUGUGGCGAAGCUAACGCAUUAAGUAUCCCGCUUGGGGAGUAC
rnacentral:rRNA from 1 species